GGUCCCAGAUCUGUCAAUACUCCUGGUCAGAGCCGGUCCCAGAUCUGUCAAUACUCCUGGUCAGAGCCGGUCCCAGAUCUGUCAAUACUCCUGGUCAGAGCCGGUCCCAGAUCUGUCAAUACUCCUGGACAGAGCUGGUCCCAGAUCUGUCAAUACUCCUGGACAGAGCUGGUCCCAGAUCUGUCAAUACUCCUGGACAGAGCUGGUCCCAGAUCUGUCAAUACUCCUGGACAGAGCUGGUCCCAGAUCUGUCAAUACUCCUGGACAGAGCAGGUCCCAGAUCUGUCAAUACUCCUGGACAGAGCAGGUCCCAGAUCUGUCAAUACUCCUGGACAGAGCAGGUCCCAGAUCUGUCAAUACUCCUGGACAGAGCUGGUCCCAGAUCUGUCAAUACUCCUGGACAGAGCUGGUCCCAGAUCUGUCAAUACUCCUGGACAGAGCAGGUCCCAGAUCUGUCAAUACUCCUGGACAGAGCAGGUCCCAGAUCUGUCAAUACUCCUGGACAGAGCAGGUCCCAGAUCUGUCAAUACUCCUGGACAGAGCUGGUCCCAGAUCUGUCAAUACUCCUGGACAGAGCAGGUCCCAGAUCUGUCAAUACUCCUGGACAGAGCCGGUCCCAGAUCUGUCAAUACUCCUGGACAGAGCUGGUCCCAGAUCUGUCAAUACUCCUGGACAGAG